AAUGAACGCUGGCGGCAGGCCUAACACAUGCAAGUCGAGCGAGCAUUUCGGUGCUAGCGGCGGACGGGUGAGUAACGCGUGGGAACGUGCCCUUUUCUGCGGAAUAGUCCUGGGAAACUGGGGGUAAUACCGCAUACGCCCUUUUGGGGAAAGAUUUAUCGGAGAAGGAUCGGCCCGCGUUGGAUUAGGUAGUUGGUGGGGUAAUGGCCCACUAAGCCGACGAUCCAUAGCUGGUUUGAGAGGAUGAUCAGCCACACUGGGACUGAGACACGGCCCAGACUCCUACGGGAGGCAGCAGUGGGGAAUCUUAGACAAUGGGGGCAACCCUGAUCUAGCCAUGCCGCGUGAGUGAUGAAGGCCUUAGGGUUGUAAAGCUCUUUCAGCUGGGAAGAUAAUGACGGUACCAGCAGAAGAAGCCCCGGCUAACUCCGUG
rnacentral:rRNA from 1 species